rnacentral:rRNA from 1 species
GAUGGGAGCUUGCUCCCAGGCGUCGAGCGGCGGACGGGUGAGUAACACGUGGGAAUCUGCCCAUUAGUGGGGGAUAACUCGGGGAAACUCGAGCUAAUACCGCAUAAUCCCUACGGGGGAAAGCAGGGGAUCUUCGGACCUUGCGCUGAUGGAUGAGCCCGCGUCGGAUUAGCUUGUUGGUGGGGUAAUGGCCCACCAAGGCGACGAUCCGUAACUGGUCUGAGAGGAUGGCCAGUCACACCGGGACUGAGACACGGCCCGGACUCCUACGGGAGGCAGCAGUGGGGAAUCUUGGACAAUGGGCGCAAGCCUGAUCCAGCCAUGCCGCGUGUGUGAAGAAGGCCUUCGGGUUGUAAAGCACUUUCAGUAGGGAGGAAGGCUUUGGGCUAAUACCCUGGAGUACUUGACGUUACCUACAGAAGAAGCACCGGCUAAUUUCGUGCCAGCAGCCGCGGUAAUACGAAAGGUGCGAGCGUUAAUCGGAAUUACUGGGCGUAAAGCGCGCGUAGGCGGUGUGUUAAGUCGGAUGUGAAAGCCCAGGGCUCAACCUUGGAAUUGCAUCCGAUACUGGCACGCUAGAGUGCAGUAGAGGGAGGUGGAAUUUCCGGUGUAGCGGUGAAAUGCGUAGAGAUCGGAAGGAACACCAGUGGCGAAGGCGGCCUCCUGGACUGACACUGACGCUGAGGUGCGAAAGCGUGGGGAGCAAACAGGAUUAGAUACCCUGGUAGUCCACGCCGUAAACGAUGUCUACUAGCCGUUGGGGUCCUUAGUGACUUUGGUGGCGCAGCUAACGCGAUAAGUAGACCGCCUGGGGAGUACGGCCGCAAGGUUAAAACUCAAAUGAAUUGACGGGGGCCCGCACAAGCGGUGGAGCAUGUGGUUUAAUUCGAUGCAACGCGAAGAACCUUACCAG